rnacentral:lncRNA from 1 species
AAGAGGAGCCUAUCGCCACCAGCAUUGUAUCUUCUGCAUAUACCGAAAACGACAGAGUUAAUCCGGAUGUUCUGGUGUACACCGGUCAGGGAGGUCACGCUGAUAAAGAUAAAGAAGCAUCAGACCAGAAGCUGGAGAGAGGUAACCUCGCUUUGGAGAAGAGCUUGCAUAGGAACAAUGCGGUUAGGGUGAUCAGAGGCUUGAACUUGAAGGAAGCUACUCACAGGGUUAAGAUCUAUGUCUACGAUGGGAUCUACGAGAUCAAAGAGGCGUGGAUAGAGAAAGGCAAAUCAGGACACGACACCUUCAAGUAUAAGCUAGUGAGAGCUCCUAAUCAGCCUCCUGGUUUUGCUACGUGGACCGAGAUACAAAGUUGGAAGACUGGUAAGUCCCCAAGGAGAGGACUCAUCCUCCCUGAUCUCACUUCCGGCGUCGAAAGCGUAGCUGUCUCGCUUGUGAACGAAGUUGAUAGCGAGAAUGGUCCUUCUUACUUCACCUACUCCACAACGGUUAAAUACUCAAUGUCCUUUCAGCUGACGCAGCCUUCUAGCGGAUGCGGUUGCGGAAACAAAUGCAAGCCGGGGAACUUGGAAUGCCCCUGCAUAAGGAAGAACGGAGGCGAGUUUCCUUACACAGGGAAUGAUAUUUUAGUUAGCCGGAGGCCUAUGGUAUAUGAAUGCAGCCCUUCUUGCCCUUGCUUGACUUGUAAAAGCAAGGUGACUCAGAUGGGAGUGAAACUGAGGCUGGAGGUUUUCAAGACGGUGGAUAGAGGAUGGGGGUUACGCUCGUGGGAUCCUAUUCGCGCCGGUGCGUUUAUAUGUGUGUAUGCAGGUGAGGCCAGAGAUAAGUCGAAAGUGCAGCAGACGAUGGCUAACGAUGACUUUACGUUUGAUACAACGCGCGUUUACACCCCUUUUAAAUGGAACUAUGAGGCUGGCUUAGCGGACGAAGAUGCUUCCGAGGAGGUGUCUGAAGAACCUAUACUCCCUUUGCCUCUUAUAAUCAGUGCUAAGAAUAUUGGGAACGUUGCACGGUUCAUGAAUCACAGUUGCUCUCCUAAUGUUUUCUGGCAGCCGGUUAGUUAUGAGAAUAACGGUCAGCUCUACUUGCACGUCGCCUUCUUUGCUAUUUCACACAUCCCUCCCAUGACUGAGUUGACUUACGACUAUGGUGUUUCAAGACCAACGGGAGCUCAAAAUGGCAAUCCUGUGUAUGGUAAAAAGAGGUGCUUUUGCGGAACACAGUAUUGCCGUGGCUCAUUUGGUUGAUGCCAACGUGUAAAAGGUUUGUUUCUCUGAGCUUUUUGUUAUUUAUUGAAUCUAUAUUCAUUAUCUGAUUACAGGUAGUGGAAGUGACUGCUUUUGGUUUACAGGUAAAGUGUUUAAAGUCUUCUUCUCUUCAACGGCAUAAGACGCAAAGCUGUGAUGGAUUCUUUCCUGCUUCUUCUCCAUCAAAGUCUUUAUCUAUUUCUCUGAUCCUAGGAAAUGUAUCCUUCUCUCCUGUUGGAUAUGUGAUCUUAUUAGUAUUUUUUUUUCAGAUUGUUUUUAGGACAAAACCUAUGGGAAGUUGGGAAACUAGUAGCCUAUCUUUGUUUGAUUAAAAGAUUUGAUGAAUAUGAUAAUCAGUUUUAACAGUUUAUCUGUCUUAUGCAAUGACAACUAUAAACAGCUUCUUGUACAGACCACCACCACUACACACUAAAAACAGUACAACUAACAUGUUUACAAAUCGGUUAAUAUGAUUAGUAAGUUCAGCUUGGUGAUUCUAAAACUAAAGAAAGAAUCAUUUGGACCUCAAAGACUGAGAGCUACAGCCAUCUUUACACACGUGUGAAAAACCAAACCGGCAACCGACAAAAGCUCCAAAAAGGCGUUACAUCACGAAAAGAAGGAAUGCAAGUAAAACUACAAAGGACGAAACUGAAACCUCCUACGUAGGUAAUCCCAGUCAUAUUAGAUCAUCGUACGGCUCAAGAUCAAAUGAUUUAGAUCCAACGGUUAAAAUCUUAUCGGCUUCUUCUCCAACUGUUACAGAUGUAGAGUGAAAAAAUCACACAGAUGUUAAUUAAUAUUAGUAAUUUCUUACCAAAGCUGGAAACUUUAUGCUCUAAUCUUCUUCCCUCUCGCUCUUCCCCUGUCUCUCUCGUUUCGGAAACCCUAAAUCUGACGGAGCAUUUCGAUCUCCAAGUCCCCAAAUUUUCAGGUUUUUUUUUCCUAAAGUUAUAAGCUUUCUGUGUUAUUGUUAUUGUACAUCUUUGAAUCUGCGAUGAAUGAUGUGUUGAGGGUCCUCUGUUCUUUAGUCAGUAGGCUAGAUUAAUCUGCUAAAGACUGUUCAUUUUCUCCAUUUGCAUAGAAAAAAUCAGAUCUUUUUAUUAAUUUGGUAAAUUUUGAUUGUUCAGCUUACUAUGGAAGGAAACUUCGGAAGCUACACUGACAAGACUCGAGUGUUGGAUAUCAAACCGUUGCGCACUCUCAGACCUGUCUUCCCAAGUGGGAACCAAGCUCCUCCUUUUGUCUGCGCACCUCCUUUUGGUCCGUUCCCUCCUGGCUUCUCUCCUUUCUACCCCUUUAGCUCCUCUCAACACACUCCAGAUCUCAACCAAGCUCAGAAUCCACCUCAGCAUCAGCCUCAUAACAGCUCAGAGCCUUCGUUGGUUACUCCUCUGAGGACAUUCAGGUCUCCUCCUGAUACCACAACAUCCAAUGGCGACGUGGAGCCUUCAACUGUGAAGAGAAAGAUCACUAAAAAGCGUACUCCUCUCGUUUGCCCUGAGAAUUUCUCGAGUGGGAUCAGCGUGGCUGAUAGAGAGAAUGGGAACAGGAAGCUGGUGACGAGUGUGAUCAUGCGGUUUGACGCGUUGAGAAGAAGGUUUUCGCAGCUGGAAGAUGCUAAGGAAGCGGUUAGUGGGUCUAUCAAACGUGGUGAUUUGAAAGCAGGAUCCACUUGUAUGAGCAGAGGUGUCAGGACCAACACUAAAAAAAGACCUGGUGUUGUUCCUGGUGUUGAGAUUGGUGACGUGUUCUUCUUCAGGUUCGAGAUGUGUUUGGUUGGGUUGCAUUCUCCGUCGAUGGCUGGGAUUGACUAUCUACUCGUCAAGGGAGGGGGAGAAACAGGAGAAGAGCCUAUCGCCACUAGCAUUGUCUCAUCUGGUUACUAUGAUAAUGAUGAAGGUAAUCCUGAUGUUUUGGUUUAUACCGGUCAGGGCGGUGGGAACGCUGAUAAAGAGAAGCAAACGUCUGACCAGAAGCUUGAGAGAGGUAACCUUGCGUUGGAGAAGAGUUUGCUUAGGAACAGUCCGGUGAGGGUGAUAAGAGGGUUGAAAGAGGCUUCUCAGAGUGCUAAGAUCUAUGUUUACGAUGGGCUUUAUGAGAUCAAAGAGUCUUGGGUGGAGAAAGGGAAGUUAGGAC